GAUGAACGCUGGCGGCGUGCUUAACACAUGCAAGUCGAACGAUGAAGCCCAGCUUGCUGGGUGGAUUAGUGGCGAACGGGUGAGUAACACGUGAGUAACCUGCCCUUAACUCUGGGAUAAGCCUGGGAAACUGGGUCUAAUACCGGAUAGGAGCGUCCACCGCAUGGUGGGUGUUGGAAAGAUUUAUCGGUUUUGGAUGGACUCGCGGCCUAUCAGCUUGUUGGUGAGGUAAUGGCUCACCAAGGCGACGACGGGUAGCCGGCCUGAGAGGGUGACCGGCCACACUGGGACUGAGACACGGCCCAGACUCCUACGGGAGGCAGCAGUGGGGAAUAUUGCACAAUGGGCGCAAGCCUGAUGCAGCGACGCCGCGUGAGGGAUGACGGCCUUCGGGUUGUAAACCUCUUUUAGUAGGGAAGAAGCGAAAGUGACGGUACCUGCAGAAGAAGCACCGGCUAACUACGUG
rnacentral:rRNA from 1 species